rnacentral:lncRNA from 1 species
AGGAAUUUUCCCCGCAAGCAGAUGCCCUGAUGUCCAACCAGAAGAAGUGAAACUGGCACUGGGUCUAGAGUGGUGAAGACCCGUGGCCAGCUUCUGUCGCUGCCAUCUGCCAUUGCGUUUUGGUUGCUUGCUUUUGGUUUUGCAAGAAGCAUAGCCUCUCUCCGUUUGAUCUGC